rnacentral:lncRNA from 1 species
ACGGAACAGCUUGACCACGUUUGAAAGGAGUGUUCCCACGUUUGAUUUUUGUUUUCUCUAAAGUUUGUGUCUUUGAUUUUGUUGUGAUUAUCAAUCGUGUUUCUGAUUCUUCCUCCCCUCCCCACCAGUUUAUUAGCACUGGACAAUCGUCAUGGAAUCGAAAUGAUUGAGCUUGAUGACGCUACGCUGCCUCCAAAUUAGAUUUUUGUUUCCGACAUUUGUAUUGUAAUGUUUUUCAUUUCCGCUUGGGUCUAAAUCUGAUGUGUCUCCAGGAGAUUCCAUGAUAUUGUCAGUGUUCGCGAGAGUGUUGGGGUGAGAUUUGUUUCUUUCUCCAGCUUGCUUUCAUUUCUUGAAUCUGAUCUCUUAUGUUGAUCGAGUCUGAUGGAAAUUUGGGUUUUAACAAAAAAAAAAAAAAAAGCUAAGAAUCAUUUUACAAAUUGAGUUUCAUUUUAGAUUUUGUUCUCGAGUUGAAGCUCAUUUCAUUACAAAAUGUUCAUAGGUAUUGUGGUACGGAUGCAGGAAAGUGCUAAGGACACUUCUCACAGAUUCUAAACGAACGAGUAUGUCAAAUUAGGUACAUUUGGAUUGUGUUUUGUCUCUAAUCUUCAUGCUUUUUAUGCUUAAAGGUCUAUGAGAUUUCAGGUAUCUGAUGAUGAGGAUGAUUCUUUUCAAAAACUGCCCUCUUCCCCAAUCUUCAGAUUCCUCAAGAUUAGGCGCUUUGUCUUUUGUUCUGUGUUUGGGGGCUUAAUUCCAUUUCCCAAGUAGAUUCAGUGAUGUACCAAUAUCUAGGUAAGAAUAAGCUAUCUUGUCAGUUAUAUAAGUAGUACAUGGACCUUUAUGCCAAAGAAUAAGCCAUCUUGUCGGUUGUUUUUCUCGUCACCAACUCGACCAACUCUUUUUCCGGACGUUGCAUGUCCAGGAAAUGAAUUUCUCUUAUUGCUCUGAGACCAUUUGAUUCGGUUUUGGUAACUAGAAAGAAACAACAAUUACAUUCAGAUAGAACGGUGCUUAUAAGCUUGAGAGAUAUUAGAAACUCUCACCUCCCAUGAACAUGGUGAUCUAAUAAUCUUAACUUCUUUUUAAUUCUCGCAGUUUUUGAUACUUGUAUACUACUAAUGACUACUUGGAAUAAAGGACACAUUAAUCAAGCCCACA